rnacentral:rRNA from 1 species
UACGAAGGGGGCUAGCGUUGCUCGGAAUCACUGGGCGUAAAGGGUGCGUAGGCGGGUCUUUUAAGUCAGGGGUGAAAUCCUGGAGCUCAACUCCAGAACUGCCUUCGAUACUGGAGAGCUUGAGUCCGGGAGAGGUGAGUGGGAACUGCGAGUGUAGAGGUGAAAUUCGUAGAUAUUCGCAAGAACACCAGUGGCGAAGGCGGCUCACUGGCCCCGGUACUGACGCUGAGGUGCGAAAGCGUGGGGAGCAAACA